AAGCGACUCUGCGCGGCCCGAGCCUGGACGGCGGCUCCGAAGGACCAAAAAUUUUUCCCUAGUCCUUUCUCGUCCAAGCUAAAGUUCCUGUGGACUUCCCAGGAAAACGACAGUGUCCGGAAGCCUCUGCAAUGCCCUCUUAGGAUUGUCCAAGAAGAUGGCGAAACAUUUGCAGGCAGCGAUAGGAGUUGAGGGAAUGUGCGGGCUGAAACUAAGGUUUUUUUCUUUUGUUUUGUUUCGUUUUUGAGACGGAGUCUUGCUCUGUCGCCCAGGCUGGAGUCCAGUGGCGCGAUCUCGGCUCACUGCAACCUCCGUCUCCCGGGUUCCAGAGAUUCUCGUGCCUCAGCCUCGCGAGUAGCUGGGAUUACAGGCGUGAGCCACCACGCUUGGUUAAUUUUUGUGUUUUUUGUUUGUUUGUUUUUUGAGACGGAGUCUCUUUCUGUCGCCCAGGAGUGCAGUGGCGCGAUCUCGGCUCACUGCAACCUCCGCCUCCUGGGCUCAAGCGAUUCUCCUGCCUCAGCCUCCUGAGUAGCUGGGAUUACAGGCGCCCGCCACCACGCCCGGAUAAUUUUUUGUAUUUUUAGUAGAGACGGGGUUUCACUAUGUUGGUCAGGCUGGUCUUGAAUUCUUGACCGCGUGAUCCGCCCUCCUCGGCGUCCCAAAGUGCUGCUGGAAUUACAGGUGUGAGCCACCGCGCCCGGCCAAUUUUUUUUUUUUUUUAUUUUUUAGUAGAGACGGGGUUUCGCCAUGUUGGCCAGUCUGGUCUGGAACUCCUGACCUCAAGUGAUCCGCCCUCCUCGGCCUCCCAAAGUGCUGAGAUUACAGAAGUAAGCUACCGCGCCAGGCCUGAAGCCAUGGGUUUUGAGGGGUGUUUAUUUGUUUGUUUGCUUAGAGAUGGGGUCUUGAUCUGUCGCCCAGGCUGGAGUGCGGUGGCGCGAUCAUAGCUCACUGCAGCCUCCAACUCCUGGGCAAGUGAUCCUCCUGCCUCAGCCAACCCAAUAGCUGGGAUUACAGGCGCGAAGCCCACUGGUUUUUAGGUUUCAUGUUGCCUCUCCCACCCCCUCUCCUUCCAGGGGACUGGGGAACGGUGGAGGCUCAUAUAGACCUGAAAGGGGCACGAGGGAUCCUCCCAGGUUGCUGGAAUCUCUAGUAUCUUUACCUAGGUGGUAGAUACGUGGAUGUCUACAUUUUUUAAAAAAAUCAAUUAGACUAUUACAUUUUUAUUUUAUUUUGAGACAGCUUUUCACUCUUGUCACCCAGGCUGGAGCGCAAUAGUGCAAUCUCAGCUCACUGCAACCUCCACCUCCGGGUUUCAAGCUAUUCUUCUCCCUUAGCCUCCCAAGUAGCUGGGAUUACGGGCGCCUGCCACCACACCCAGGUAAUUUUUGUAUUUUUAGUAGAGACGGGUUUUCACCAUGUUGGUCAGGCUGGUCUCGAACUCCUGACCUUCAGAUGAUCCACCCGCCUCUGCCUUCCAAAGUACUGGGAUUAACAGGCGUGAGCCUCCACACCCAGCAACUAUUGCAUUUUAUUUUACUGUAUGUAUGUAAUACCUUAACCACACACAAAAAAUUACCUUGUUCAAAUUUUCCAGAAUUAGAAUUCUACCAGUUCCCCAAAGUCUUGCUGUUUCUCCAUGCCCCUUAGCCCUUACCAGCUGCUAGAGCUGUCUUUUCAUCCUUUGCACCCUGGCACACUCCUACUCAUCCCUCAGAACCCAAAUGUCACCUCUUAUCUCUAAAAUGUUCCUUGACAUCCUUCUGCCAAAUACUAGCCCCUUCCUCUCUGUUUACAAUGCAGAUUCGGUCCUAGUGAAUUACUGUUAUUUUCUACUCUGCCUCACUCAUGAAGGCACAAGACUUGAUUUACAUACGCUGUCCUCUUCAGGCCCUGCCACAGGGCCACAGAAGGACCUCACACAUUUCAUGUCAAUUGAGGUCACUGGACUGACCUGGGAAUGAGGAGCCUGGGUUGUUACUCCACUUUUGCACAUAGAUGUGUGACCUUGAUUAUUUUCCACCACGUCCUGGCCUCGGUUUCCUUAUCUGUUAAAAGGGAAUGACACCACAGGCCUUGCAAAAUUGAAGGGAUUAUUUCUUUGAAGACCAACAGGCGAUAGGGGGCAGUAGUGUCCCAGGAUCCAGUUUCCCGCUUCAGGUUUCAAGAAACAGGAGCAGCUGCAGUGAUGAAGUUUUCCCGACUAUGACAGUGUACAGUUGACCUUGAACAACGUGGGGGUUUGGGGCACCGACCCCUGCACAGUCCAAAAUCCUGGGGUCUUUUUUUUAAUUUGACAUGGAGUCUCCCUCUGUCGCCAAGGCUGGAGUGCAGUGGCGCGAUCUCAGCUCAUUGCAACCUCUGCCUCCCGGGUUGAAGCAAUUCUCCUGCCUCAGCCGCCCAAGUAGCUGAGAUUACGGGCGCCCGCCACCAUGCCCGGCUAAUUUUUGUAUUUUUAGUAGAGACGGGGUUUCACCAGGUUGGCCAAGCUGGUCACGAACUCCUGACCUCAGGUGAUCCACCCGCCUCGGCCUCCCAAAGUGCUGUGAUUACAGGCAUGAGCCACUGCGCCUGGCCUCAUUUUUGACUCCCCAAAAACAACUUUUUUUUUUUUUUUUUUUUUGAGAUGGAGUUUUGCUCUUGUCGCCCAGGCUGGAAUGCAAUGGCACGAUCUCGGCUCACUGCAACCUCCACUUCCCAGUUCAAGCAGUUCUGCCUCAGCUUCCUGAGUAGCUGGGAUUACAAGUGCCCACCACCACGCCUGGCUAAUUUUUAUAUUUUUAGUAGAGACUGGGUUUCGCCAUGUUGGCCAGGCUAGUCUCGACUCCUGACCUCAGGUGAUCUACCCGCUUUGGCCUCCCAAAGUGCUGGGAUUACAGGCGUGAGCCACUGCGCCCAGCCCAAAAACUUAACUAUUGACAGCAUACUGUUGACCAGAAGCCUUACCAAUGACAGUUGAUUAGCAUUUUGUUUGUUUGUUUUUCGUUUUUGUUUUGAGAUGGAAUCUCGCUCUGUUGCCCAGGCUGUAGUGCAGUGAUGUGAUCUCGGUUCACUGUAACCUCUGCCUCCUGGGUUCAAGUGAUUCUCCUGCCUCAACCUCCCAAGUAGCUGGGACCACAGGCACCCGCCACCAUGCCAGGCUAAUUUUUGUAGUUUUAGUACAGAUGGGGUUUCAACAUGUUGGCCAGGGUGGUCUCGAACUCCUGGCCUCAAGUGAUCCACCCACUCUGGCCUUCCAAAGUGCUGGGAUUACAGGCAUCAGCCACUGUGCCUGGCCAAUGACAGUUGAUUAGCAUAUUUUGUAUGUUAUAUAUAUUACAUGCUGUAUCCUUACAAUAAACCAGAGAAAAGAAAUUGUUAUUAAGAAAAUAAUAAGGAUGAGAAAAUAUAUUUACUCUUCAUGUAGUGGAAGUGACUCAUGGUAAAGCUCUUCAUCCUUGUCAUCUUUAUGUUGAGUAGGCUGAAGAGGAGGGGAGGAGGAAGGGUUGGUCUUGCUGUCUUGGGGGGUGGCAGAAGUGGAAGAAGUGGUGGAGGUGGAAAGAGAGAGGCAUGAGAGGCGGCAUACUUGGUGUAACUUUUAUUUAUUUAUUUAUUUUUAUUGAGAUGGAGUCUCGCUCUUUCGCCCUGGCUGGAGUACAGUGGCUCAACCUCGGCUCACUGCAACCUCUGUCUCCCAGGCUCAAGAGACUCUCCUGCCUCAGCCUCCCAAGUGGCUGGGAUUACAGGCGCCGGCCACUAUGCCCGGCUAAUUUUUGAAUUUUUAGUAGAGACAGGGUUUCACCAUGUUGGCCAGACUGGUCUCGAACUCCUGGCCUCAACUGAUCCGCCUGCCUCCGCCUCCCAAAGUGCCAGGAUUACAGAUGUGAGCCACGGUGCCCAGCCAGGUGAAAAAAAUCCAUAUAUAAGCGGACCCAUGCAUUUCAAACCUGCGUUGUUCAAGGGUUAACUGUAUUAUUGAACUGAAGAGUUCUACUGGUGAUCCCCUACUUCCCCAUCUUCCAGACUGGCAGACAUCCUGCUUUCCCUGGCAGGUCAGUUCUGUAAUGUGACUCCAGUGCCGUCACUGGAGGGAGACAGCCUAGAGCCUCUUCCUCUAUCCUUAACAACACAUUGAUACGCCUGUUUCCCGGAUGUCUCUUUCAACUGAUAAUAUCUUUUUUUUUUUUUUUUUUUUUGAGACAAGAGUCUUGCUCUGUCGCCCAGGCUGGAGUGCAGUGGCGCGAUCUCUGCUCACUGCAAGCUCUGCCUCCUGGGUUCACACCAUUCUCCUGCCUCAGCCUCCCGAGUAGCUGGGACUACAGGCGCCCGCCACCAUGCCCAGCUAAUUUUUUGUAUUUUUAGUAGAGACGGGGUUUCACCGUGUUAGCCAGGAUGGUCUUGUGGUCUUGAUCUCCUGACGUCGUGAUCCACCCACCUUGGCCUUCCAAAGUGCUGGGAUUAUAGGUAAGAGCCACUGCGCCCAGGCUUUUUUUUUUUUUUUAACUUGAGAUGGAGUCUCGCUCUGACUCCCAGGCUGGAGUGCAAUGGUGCGAUCUCAGCUCACUGCAACCUCCGCCUCCCGGGUUCAAGUGAUUCACCUGCCUCAGCCUCCCAAGUAGCUGGGAUUACAGGUGCAUGCCACCAUGCCCAGCUAAUUUUGUUUUUGUAUUUUUUAGUAGAGACAGGGUUUUGCCAUGUUGGCCAGGCUGGUCUCGAACUCUUGACCUCAGGUGAUCUGCCCACCUCAGCCUCCCCAGAAUGCUGGGAUUACAGGUGUGAGCUACUGCGCCUGGCCUCUGCUGAUAAUAUCUACAGAGGUUUCCUCUUAAACCAAUGGAUGCAGCCCCUUUUGUUUUCUAUUUUUGUUUGUUUCCUUUGAGACAGGGUCUGGCUCUGUCACCCAAGCUGGAGUGCAGUGGCAUGAACACGGCUCACUGCAGCCUCACAUUCCUGAGCUCAAGCAAUCCUCCCAUCUCAGGCUCUGCAGUAGCUGAGACCACAGGCACAUGCACCCACACCCAGCUAGUUUUUUUGUUUUUGUUUUUGUUUUUGUUUUUAACUAUUUGUAGAGAUGGAGGUCUCCCUAUGUUACCCAGGCUGGUCUCCAAUUCCUGGGCUCAAGCAGUCCCAAAGCACUGGGAUUACAGCCGUCAACCACCACUCCUGGCUUUUUUUUUUUUUUUUUUUUUUGAUACAACCCUUUUUGACUUCCCAAGCAACCCAACUGCAGAAGAAGGCCAAGAACAAUUUUGAUUUUAUCUAGAAAUUCAAUGUUAAUUUUCGGCUUUGAACUGAUUAAAUAAUAGUUCUAAGUCCACUUAUCAAGGAAUUAAAAUGCGGGGCUGGGCGCAGUGCCUCAUGCUUGUAAUCUCAGCACUGUGGGAGGCCAAAGGGGAUGGAUUGCUUGAGUCCAAGAGUUCAAGACCAGCCAGGGCAGCAUAGCAAGACCCCAUCUCUACAAAAAAUACAAAAAAAAAAUUAGCCAGGCAUGGUGGCACGUGCCUGUAGUCUCAGCUAUUUGGGAGGCUGAGGUGGGAGGAUCACCCAAGCCUGGGAGAUCAAGACUGCAGUGAGCUGAGCUGUGAUAGUGCCACUGCACUCCAGCCUGGGUGACAGAGUGAGACCCUGUCUCCAAUAAAUAAAUAAAUAAAUAAAUAGUGGACAUUUUUAGGAUCUCGGCGGAACACAGUGAAUUGUAUAUUGUAGGGUUUUAUUAUAUAAAUCGGGACUCAAAUUCAAAUGCCUUCAGGGAUCAGGCAGUUUAUAUGAAUCAGAGAUGGCACUAGCAUAGGCAGUAGGAGCGGGGAGGAUUGUGGCAAACUGGAUCAUAGGAUGUCAUACCUAAAUACAUUCAAUUCCAAUGUCUGAAAACACACUGGUAGCCAAACCAAAGAUGCAGCCAGAAGUCACUAAGUUUAUGGUUUACGUUAUAAAUGUAAUUGACUAUGUUAUCUGAAAUCAGAAAAGAGAUAAAGGUAACUCAAUCACAGUACUGUAAAAUGAUUGCUAUCAACUGCUUGACGUAUUUCUUUUGACGGCUCUAGUUUUUUGUUCAUUGGUUUUUUGGUUAGCAUUGUUGUAGCUAUAUUUACUCAUCAGGUGUUUUUCAACAUUACUGUUUCAGGAUCUGCAGUCAAAUUUACCCAGAGGAUCCCAGGCUCUUAGGACUUGACAGGUCACCCACAGUAAAGGUACGCCUGUAGUCCUAGCUACUCAGGAGGCUGAGGCAGGAGAGUCACUUGAACCCAGGAGGUGGAGGUGGUAGUGAGCCGAGAUUGCACCACUGUACUCCAUCCUGGGCAACAGAGCGAGACUUCGUCUCAAAAUAAAUAAAUAAAGUGUUAUACUUCAGUGGUUUCUGGUAUAUUCUCAGAGUUGUUCAAACAUCACCACUAUCUAAUUUCAAAACAUCUUAUUGCCCCAAAAAAGAAACCCUGUACCCAUUAGCAGUCAUUCCCCAAUCCCUCCUCUGCCCAGCCCUGGCAACCACUGUCUACUUUCUGUUCUGUGGAUUUGGAGUAGAAUCAUAUAGUAUGUGGCCUCUUGUGACUGGCUUCCUUCUCUUGGCAUGAUGUUUAAAGGUUCAUCUACAUUGUAGUGUGUGUCAGGAUUUCAUUUCUUUUUGUGGCUGAAUCAUAUUCCAUGGUAUGCAUGCACCACAUUUUGUCUACGGAUAUUUGAGUUGUUUCCACAUUUUGGCUAUUAUUAAUGCUGCUAUACACAUUUGGCAGAGUGCAGUAGCUCACACCUAUAAUCCUAGCACUUUGGGAGGCUGAGGCAAACGGAUCAAUUGAGGCAGGAGUUUGAGACCAGCUUGGCCAACAUGGCAAAACCCCGUCUCUACUAAAAAUAUAUAGCCAGGCAUGGUGGUGCAUGUCUGUAAUCCCAGCUGUUCAGGAGGCUAAGGCACAAGAAUCGCUUGAAUCCGAGAGGCAGAGCUUGCAGUGAGCCAAGAUCGCACCACUGCACUGACAGUGUUUCAUCAUGUUGGCCAAGCUGGUUUCAAACUCCUGAUCUCAAGUGAGCUGCCCACCUUGUUCUCUCAAAGUGCUGAGAUUACAGGCAUGAGCCCCUGCACCCAGCCUGCAUAACUUUUUUUAAAAGGCAUUGUUGCCUUGUUCCCUUGAAUCACUUUCUCUGGGAAACUAGCUAUCAUGUCAUGAGGACACUCAAGCAGCUCUGGGAGAGACCCCCUGUGGCUAGAAGCUGUGGAUUCUCACCAACAGCCAUGCAAGAUUCCCCAGCCCCAGUCGAGCCUUCAGAUGACCACAGCCCCAGCUGAUAUCUUGACUGCAAUAUCAUGAAAAACCAUGUGUCAGAACUGCUCAGACAUGUUGCUCCCAAAUUCUGGACCUGCAGAAACCAUGAAAGACAAUAAAUGAUUAUUGCUGUUUUAGGUCACUAUGUUUUGAGCUAACUUCUUACACAGCAAUAGAUACUAAUGCAUAUUUUAACCAGUUUCCUACAUUAAAACCUUUCUGUUGGAAAGACCUGGAGUGUGUUUUAUUUUUCUGACUGAUACAAACUCCUGUCCUGAAUUGUAAACCAAGAGUGAAAAAAUAAGAAAAAAGAGUAAAGAAGAUGGAAUAUCUAAAUACAGUCAUGUGUUACUUGAUGACAGCAAUACAUUCUGAGAAACAUAUGGGUGGCAAUUUUGUGGU
rnacentral:lncRNA from 1 species